rnacentral:rRNA from 1 species
GACGAACGCUGGCGGCGUGCUUAACACAUGCAAGUCGAACGGUGAAGCGCCUUCCUUUUUGGUGGGUGUGGAUGAGUGGCGAACGGGUGAGUAACACGUGAGUAACCUGCCCCCUUCUUCUGGAUAACCGCAUGAAAGUGUGGCUAAUACGGGAUAUUCUGGGUCUGUCGCAUGAUGGGUCUGGGAAAGAUAUUGUUUCGGUGGGGGAUGGGCUCGCGGCCUAUCAGCUUGUUGGUGGGGUGAUGGCCUACCAAGGCGGUGACGGGUAGCCGGCCUGAGAGGGUGGACGGUCACACUGGGACUGAGACACGGCCCAGCCUCCUGCGGGAGGCAGCAGUGGGGAAUAUUGCACAAUGGGCGCAAGCCUGAUGCAGCGACGCCGCGUGAGGGAUGGAGGCCUUCGGGUUGUGAACCUCUUUCGCCAGUGAAGCAGGCCUGCCUCGUUUGUGGGUGGGUUGACGGUAGCUGGAUAAGAAGCGCCGGCUAACUACGUG